rnacentral:rRNA from 1 species
AGUGAACGCUGGCGGUAGGCCUAACACAUGCAAGUCGAACGGCAGCACAGUAAGAGCUUGCUCUUACGGGUGGCGAGUGGCGGACGGGUGAGGAAUACAUCGGAAUCUACUUUUUCGUGGGGGAUAACGUAGGGAAACUUACGCUAAUACCGCAUACGACCUACGGGUGAAAGCAGGGGAUCUUCGGACCUUGCGCGAUUGAAUGAGCCGAUGUCGGAUUAGCUAGUUGGCGGGGUAAAGGCCCACCAAGGCGACGAUCCGUAGCUGGUCUGAGAGGAUGAUCAGCCACAAUGGAACUGAGAAACGGUCCCGACUCCUACGGGAGGCAGAAGUGGGGAAUAUUGGACAAUGGGCGCAAGCCUGAUCCAGCCAUACCGCGUGGGUGAAGAAGGCCUUCGGGUUGUAAAGCCCUUUUGUUGGGAAAGAAAAGCAGCAGGUUAAUACCCCGCUGUUCUGACGGUACCCAAAGAAUAAGCACCGGCUAACUUCGUG